rnacentral:rRNA from 1 species
CCUACGGGAGGCAGCAGUGAGGAAUAUUGGUCAAUGGCCGGAAGGCUGAACCAGCCAUGCCGCGUGAAGGUCAGUGCCCUAUGGGCGUUAAACUUCUUUUGUGCGGGAGCAAUAAUGGUCACGUGUGGCCAGACGAGAGUACCGUACGAAUAAGCAUCGGCUAACUCCGUGCCAGCAGCCGCGGUAAUACGGGGGAUGCAAGCGUUAUCCGGAUUUAUUGGGUUUAAAGGGUGCGUAGGCUGUGAGGUAAGUCAGCGGUGAAAUGCCCCCGCUCAACGGGGUGAAGUGCCAUUGAUACUGCCUUGCUGGAAUGCGGAUGCCGUGGGAGGAAUGUGUGGUGUAGCGGUGACAUGCAUAGAUAUCACACAGAACACCGAUUGCGAAGGCAUCUCACGAAUCCGCGAUUAACGCUGAUGCACGAAAGCGUGGGUAUCAAACAGGAUUAGAUACCCUAGUAGUC